AGAGUUUGAUCCUGGCUCAGGACGAACGCUGGCGGCGUGCCUAACCCAUGCAAGUCGAACGGAACUUUUUUUAAUUGAUUUCUUCGGAAUGAUUUUGAUUAAGUUUAGUGGCGGACGGGUGAGUAACGCGUGAGUAACCUGCCUCUGAGAGGGGAAUAACAUUCUGAAAAGAAUGCUAAUACCGCAUAACAUAUAUUUAUCGCAUGGUAGAUAUAUCAAAGAUUUAUCGCUCAGAGAUGGACUCGCGUCCGAUUAGUUAGUUGGUGAGGUAACGGCUCACCAAGACCGCGAUCGGUAGCCGGACUGAGAGGUUGAACGGCCACAUUGGGACUGAGACACGGCCCAGACUCCUACGGGAGGCAGCAGUGGGGGAUAUUGCGCAAUGGGGGAAACCCUGACGCAGCAACGCCGCGUGAAGGAUGAAGGUCUUCGGAUUGUAAACUUCUUUUAUUAAGGACGAAGAAAGUGACGGUACUUAAUGAAUAAGCUCCGGCUAACUACGUGCCAGCAGCCGCGGUAAUACGUAGGGAGCAAGCGUUGUCCGGAUUUACUGGGUGUAAAGGGUGCGUAGGCGGCUUUGCAAGUCAGAUGUGAAAUCUAUGGGCUCAACCCAUAGCCUGCAUUUGAAACUGCAGAGCUUGAGUGAAGUAGAGGCAGGCGGAAUUCCCCGUGUAGCGGUGAAAUGCGUAGAGAUGGGGAGGAACACCAGUGGCGAAGGCGGCCUGCUGGGCUUUAACUGACGCUGAGGCACGAAAGCGUGGGUAGCAAACAGGAUUAGAUACCCUGGUAGUCCACGCUGUAAACGAUG
rnacentral:rRNA from 1 species